AUUGAACGCUGGCGGCAGGCCUAACACAUGCAAGUCGAGCGGAGCGGCGGACGGGUGAGUAAUGCCUAGGAAUCUGCCUGGUAGUGGGGGAUAACGUCCGGCAACGGGCGCUAAUACCGCAUACUAUCAGAUGAGCCUAGGUCGGAUUGGCUAGUGGGUGGGGUAAAGGCCUACCAAGGCGACGAUCCGUAACUGGUCUGAGGGGAUGAUCAGUCAAACGGGAACGGAGACACGGUCAAGACUCCUCCGGUGGGCAUCGGUGGGGAAUAUUGGACAAUGGGCGAAAGCCUGAUCCAGCCAUGCCGCGUGUGUGAAGAAGGUCUGCGGAUUGUAAAGCACUUUAAGUUGGGAGGCGUUACCAACAGAAUAAGCACCGGCUAACUUCGUGCCAGCAGCCGCGGUAAUUC
rnacentral:rRNA from 1 species